UUUCUUUAAAAAUGGCUACUCGCUACUCGACUGAUUACUAGCGCUAGUCCAAUCUAGUGUCCAAACGAUACUUAGAAGCGUAAAGUUAUAUUAUUUGAUAUAAUUUUAUAAUUUUAACUUCCUAUUUCUUGGUACUUUAUUCGCUUUCAAGUUUUUAAUAGUAUCACAUACUAUUAAAAUUAAUAAAAAUAAAAAAAGUUGCAACCGUUCAUUGGUGCGUAUAUAUUUUUAUAUUAUUACAUAUGUCUAUGUAUUGUAUAUCAAAAUUGAUAAUUUUGUCCCAUUUUUUACAACAUUUAUCACUGACACUGCGCGUAACGUUAUUACAUAUAGCCUAUGAAUGAGAUCAAAAGAGCUAUAAGUUGGAAGUAAUAUUUAAUUCUGACCAAAUUGUUCCUGAGAGUAGUGCCUUCAAUCUCUUCUUUGUAUCGGUAAUAUAGAUUUUUAAUUUUGGUAUUAUUCCUUAAAACUGGGGAUAAUUUAUUUUUAGAUAUUAUCCUGCUGUUAGCUUUAUAAUUUUUUUUUAAUGUUUUGUAUACUGUGCUCUUUUAAGUUGUAAAUAUAAGAAUAAUUUUAUUGUGAGAAUAUUAAAUAUGUAUUUGUAUUCUAUUACAAAAAAAAAAAAAAAA
rnacentral:misc_RNA from 1 species